rnacentral:rRNA from 1 species
GUGGUUUGUCGCGUCGUCUGUGAAAUCCCGGGGCUUAACUUCGGGCGUGCAGGCGAUACGGGCAUAACUUGAGUGCUGUAGGGGAGACUGGAAUUCCUGGUGUAGCGGUGAAAUGCGCAGAUAUCAGGAGGAACACCGAUGGCGAAGGCAGGUCUCUGGGCAGUAACUGACGCUGAGGAGCGAAAGCAUGGGUAGCGAACAGGAUUAGAUACCCUGGUAGUCCAUGCCGUAAACGGUGGGCGCUAGGUGUAGGGGGCUUCCACGUCUUCUGUGCCGUAGCUAACGCAUUAAGCGCCCCGCCUGGGGAGUACGGCCGCAAGGCUAAAACUCAAAGGAAUUGACGGGGGCCCGCACAAGCGGCGGAGCAUGUGGAUUAAUUCGAUGCAACGCGAAGAACCUUACCUGGGCUUGACAUGUACCGGAUCGGGCUAGAGAUAGUCUUCCCCUUGUGGUCGGUAUACAGGUGGUGCAUGGUUGUCGUCAGCUCGUGUCGUGAGAUGUUGGGUUAAGUCCCGCAACGAGCGCAACCCUUGUCUUAUGUUGCCAGCACGUUAUGGUGGGAACUCAUGAGAGACUGCCGGGGUUAACUCGGAGGAAGGUGGGGAUGACGUCAAAUCAUCAUGCCCCUUAUGUCCAGGGCUUCACACAUGCUACAAUGGUCGAUACAAUGGGCAGCGACAUCGUGAGGUGAAGCGAAUCCCUGAAAGUCGGCCUUAGUUCGGAUUGGGGUCUGCAACUCGACCCCAUGAAGUCGGAGUCGCUAGUAAUCGCAGAUCAG